rnacentral:rRNA from 1 species
UACAGAGGGUGCAAGCGUUAAUCGGAAUUACUGGGCGUAAAGCGUGCGUAGACGGUAGCGUAAGUCGGGUGUGAAAGCCCCGGGCUCAACCUGGGAAUUGCAUUCGAGACUGCUCUGCUAGGGUGCGGAAGAGGGAAGCGGAAUUUCCGGUGUAGCGGUGAAAUGCGUAGAUAUCGGAAGGAACACCAGUGGCGGAAGCGGCUUCCUGGUCCAGCACCGACGUUCAGGCACGAAAGCGUGGGGAGCAAACAGG